GAUGAACGCUGGCGGCGUGCUUAACACAUGCAAGUCGAACGAAGCACUUUAUCUUAUUUCCUUCGGGACCGAUUAUUUUGUGACUGAGUGGCGGACGGGUGAGUAACGCGGGGGUAACCCGCCUUGUACAGGGGGAUAACAGUUGGAAACGGCUGCUAAUACCGCAUAAGCGCCCAGCAUCCCAUGAUGCAGUGUGAAAAACUCCGGUGGUAUAAGAGGGACCCGAGUUGGAUUAGCUAGUGGCGGAGGUACCGGCCCACGAAGGCGACGAUCCAUAUCCUGGCUGAGAGGGUGAGCCGCGACAUUGGGACUGAGACACGGUGCAAACUCUUACGGGAGGCGGCAAUGGGGAAUAUUGCACAAUGGGCGAAAGCCUGAUGCAGCGACGCCGGGUGAGCGAAGAAGUAUUUCGGUAUGUAAAGCUAUAUCAGCAGGGAAGAUAAUGACGGUACCUGACGAAGAAGCACCGGCUAAAUACGUG
rnacentral:rRNA from 1 species